GCGUCCGUGGCCAAGCGGAUAAGGCACUAUGCUUCGAACGUAGUGAUCGCAGGUUCGAUUCCUGCCGGGCGCACCA
rnacentral:tRNA from 2 species